NNNNNNNNNNNNNNNNNNNGCGGGCCCCCGGCGACGCCGCCGCGCAGCCUUCUGGGACCUGUAGUCCCGGCGCUGGGCGGGUCCCGCGUUUCGCCCGCAGCGCAAAGCCUAAAGGAUGUUUUCCCUCCAGAGUCCUCAAGGGCUCACUCGUUCUCUUCAUCAGCCCUCUGCUCAAGUGUGACCAUCCAGAGGGGACCUCGACCAGCUUCACCACCAUUCUCCCCUUUAUCUAUCGUUUUAUUGUCUUUGGAACAUGCUUCUCUGCAAAAUACAUAUCAGAGCUUCUCACUCAUGGUCUGUGCCCCCAACUAGAAUGUGAGCCCAUGAGAUCAAGGACUUUCUCUUGGUAACGGCAAACCUUAGUGUGUCUGUGCUUGGAACUGUAUCUUGCUUGCUAUGUGUGUAGAAUAAAUCUUUGGGGCGUGAGUAAGUAAACAGAAUCCUUUUGUUCUCUCUAGGUAAAUUACAAGGUGAUUCUAAAAGAACAGAACUAAAAAAAAAAAAAUUACUCGGCAACUAAGUUAUAGACGCAUGAAAGCGUAAUUGUAAUGAAACUGUCACGGCUUAUUUCUGUAAUGUUACCAACGUGCACUGAUUGCCCAGCGUCUCACACCCACAUGUCAACCCACAGUCUAACUCAGGUCUUGGCUGUUGAUCUCCGUUCAUGACUGAAACGGCAGCUGUAAUGCAUCCCUUCAUUUCCUCGAGACUUUGAGAAGAGGAGACACAAAUACACAGUUUUUAAAAAAGAUUUAUCUAUUAUUUUAGAUAGGGUGCACUCGAGUCAGGGAGAGAAGGGGAAGGGCGGAGGGCAGGGGAGAGGAAGAAAGAAUCGGAAGCAGGGAACCAACGUGGGGCUCGAUCCCACAACUGCAAGAUCAAGACCUGAGCUGAAAGCAAGAGCGGGAACUCCGCCAGCUGAGCCCCCCAGGCGCCCCUGUGCCAAGCAAUCUUGAUAGUUGCAGGGCAUUGCGAAUACACUAGAAACCACUAAAUCAUGCACUCUGAAAUGGUCAAAGUAGUGAAUUUUAUGUUAUGUGAAUUUUAUCUCAAUAAAAGUAGUUUUUAAAUGGACACAUGGAGAGAGAAAAAAUAUCCGUCAGACAAGUGUGAUUGUCCUAUGAUCUCCCAGACAUUAAAAAUUUCCUUACUGGUUAUACAUACAUAGGCAAAUAAAAAUUGUAAAACUAGGACACCUGGGUGGCUCGGUCAUUAAGUGUCUGCCUUCGGCUCAGGUCAUGAUCCCAGCUUCCUGGGAUCAAGCCCCAUGUGGGGCUCCCUGUGCAGUAGGGAGCCUCAUGCUCCCCUCUCCCUCUGCCCCUCCCUUGGC
rnacentral:lncRNA from 1 species